AGUGAACGCUGGCGGCGUGCCUAAUACAUGCAAGUCGAACGGAGCGGCGGACGGGUGAGUAAUGCCUAGGAAUCUGCCUGGUAGUGGGGGAUAACGUCCGGAAACGGGCGCUAAUACCGCAUACUAUCAGAUGAGCCUAGGUCGGAUUAGCUAGUUGGUGGGGUAAAGACCUACCAAGGCGACGAUCCGUAACUGGUCUGAGAGGAUGAUCAGUCACACUGAAACUAAGACACGGGCCAGACUCCUAGGGGAGGCAGCAGUGGGGAAUAUGGGACAAGGGGCGAAAGCCGGAUCCAGCCAUGCCGGGUGUGUGAAGAAGGUCUUCGGAUUGUAAAGCACUUAAAGUUGGGAGGCGUUACCAAAAGAAUAAGCACCGGCUAACACGUGCCAGCCGCCGCGGUAAUAC
rnacentral:rRNA from 1 species